rnacentral:tRNA from 1 species
CUCUAGGUAGCUUAUUAAAGCGUGGACCUUUUAAGCCCACGAUGGAUAAUUUUUCCCCCAGAGU